AGAGAAGUUACCCUGCACUAUCAGGCUUAGGGCAGACUCUGUCCCCAGGAAGAAGAUGGUUUAAGUUGUUGCUGGAAUUGCAGUGUGGGAAAUGCCAGCCCCUCUGUGGCAGUGGGUCCCCGUACCUUGGAGAUACACUUGUCUUCUCUUGUUUGGACCUUCUAGAUCCAUUUGUUUAAUCCUAACCACUUACUCUCUCUACCCUGGUAUCACAUGUUUAUGCACUGAAGGUUAAAUAUGUAUUUUGACACGUUUGUUUAUUAAGUAUGUGCUGGUCUGUAAAAUGAGAAAUUCCUGUUCUGGUAUGUAUACUAGAUCCCCAAAUGAGCAGAAAGGCUUUUCUAGAGCCCUUGCACACUGUUGAGUAAAUGCAGGUUUGUUUAGGUUAGCUGACCCAAAUAGAUCCCUUUGGAUCCAAACUGUGAUAAGUAGCUGCGUUGCAUGGCUCCCUUGGCAGAUUUAUUGUUGAAAAUAGAAGGGGGGAAGCCCUCAGUAAAUGUGCAUGGAGUGCUGGAAUAUCUAUAUUCAGAUGUUCUCUUAACGUUGCCUUGACCCUUCCCAAAAUGAUGCGAAGCCAGCAUAGUUCAGAAGAUGGGCUGUUGGCCUACAUGUUUACUGUUUGAAGAGAAGGCUCUUUUAACAACCAUUGAAUGCUUUUAAGUCCUCAGAGAUUCUCCCCUCCUGCCUCCGGUUUUCAAAACGAAACCGAAUUUAAGGAAGAAUUCUGUUCCGUGAAUCGAUUCCAAUUAAACCCUAAUCAAAACAGGGCUUCUGGCAGUAACUUCGGUAUAACCUGAACAUUAAAAAUAAGAUUGGGCAUAUAUCACUAACGUGGGCUCAUGAAGACUGUGCGCCGUCAGUGAUGAUGUAGUUGGCCGUUGUUUGGCUAUGCAGGCACAUGGCACCAUUGCCGAUCUGUGCUUUUUACCUUUGGCAGCCUACUAAAAUCAGGAUCACUGUUCCUUUCCAAGUCUGUAGCGUAGAGGUCGGUCCACAUUCGCAUUUUGCAAACCGAUAACCACAGCCUUCUGACUUAAUCCCUCAGUUGCACUGUUCCAAAACCACAUUUGUGCUGGUAGGAGGUGGAGGGGAUGAACCCCGCCUGCUCGUAUUUCCUCUGGCAGCUGGUGCUGUGGGCAACUGCUUCGUUCACUGGGGAGUGGCUUUUUCAUUCAAGCUUCUAAUGCAAAGACUUGCUUUGUUUUCCACGUAAAAAUGGGUUGCGCAAAAAUAUGCUCAUGUACACUAACAUCAGUAGACUGUAUUCUCUGCAAGUACCUCACAUGUCUUCUCCUGCCUUGUUCUUUGUAGUAUACUUAUUCAUGUACUCUUAACAUUCGUAUGUAGUGUGCAACUGUAAUGUCAUGCUUAUGAGAGGGGGCUGGCUGCCUCCAGCCCACAGUCAUCAGUUCAAUAGCAGAACACUUUAGAUAAGUUAUUUUGCACUUUCUUAUGUAUAAAAUUGGUAGAUACUUAUAUUUGCUUUGUAUCAUUUAAAGACUCCUUUCGUUUCGGUAAAUGAACUGUGUAUAAAAUAUUUAUGCAGUUGAAACUGUUUUUAGACAGUAUUUUUAAUUUCAGCAAGUUUGGUUACUUGUUGCAUGACUAUUAACACAGCUGACUUUUUGUGUCAGUGCAAUGUAUAUUUUUUUUGUCCUGUUAUUAACUUGUAAGCCCUAGUUAAAUGGCCAUUUAUUUGUACAGCAUUGGGAGUCAAUUGAAGAUAACUGGCUAAGACUGGAGUGUGGAAUUUUGUACUAUAUUGCAGAAUCCAAUAUCUGUUUUUUGGUGGUUACGUAAAAGGCCUGACGAUUUACUAUCUAGUGUGCAAUCUGUGAUAUCUGAAUGUUCAUUGUAUAUUUGUCUCCAAUGCAAAAAGUUAGAGUAACACAGUUACAAUACAUGAUUAAAUGCAAUAGUUCAGGUACUUAAGUAUUUUUUUCAUUUCAAAUAAAUACCUGCUAUUUACC
ensembl:lncRNA